GGCUUGAUGGUCUAGUAGUAUGAUUCUUUGUUAGGGUAGGAUGCUUGCAGAUAACCUACAUUUCGAGGAGGUCCUGGGUUCAAUUCCCAGUCAAGCCC